GGCUAUCCAAAUCUGAAAAUCCUACCAGAAUGCCUUACAAGCCUCAAGGAGCUCCACAUAGAAGAUUGUGGAGGUCUGGAGUGUUUUCCAAAAAGAGGGUUGUCCACCCCCAACCUCAGGCACCUUCGUAUUUGGAGAUGUGUGAAUCUCAGGUCCCUUCCGCAUCAAAUGAAAAACCUCACAUCUCUUCACGUUCUCAGCAUACGGGGUUGUCCAGGAGUGGAGUCCUUUCCAGAAGCGGGCUUGCCCGCCAAUCUAACAUCACUUUAUGUUGGAUGGUGUGAGAAUCUGAAAAAACCCAUAUCUGAAUGGAGCCUCUAUACCUUCACCUCUCUUUCUGCAUUGACCAUUUGUAGAGUGUUUCCCAAUAUGGCUUCUUUUUCGGAUGAAGAGUGUCUGCUUCCUCCAUCUCUGACCUAUCUUUCCAUCAGUGAACUGGAAUCUUUAACCUCCAUGGCUCUCCAAAAUCUGGUGUCUCUAAAAGAACUAGCUUUUUAUUGGUGCCGCAAGCUCAGGUCCUUGGAGCUGCCUGCAACACUUGGAAGACUUGAAAUCAGUGAUUGUCCUAUAAUAAAAGAAAGCUGCUCAAAGGAGAAGGGAGGAUAUUGGCCCAACAUCGCCCACAUCCCCUGCAUUCAAAUAGAUGGCUCAUACAUCCAUUGAAAGAUAGCAGAGUCAGAUUGAAAUACACUUUUCUCUUGUCAAGAAGGAGGAAUCCUUUCAAAUUCAUGCUUACAUUAUUCAGUCAGACUGAGAUUGAAUUACAACCCCCUUCUGCUUUUCUAGCCUUUGUUUACUUUCCAAUAUUUCCAAUAUUUCGUGCUCGAAAGUAUUUCAAGAGAUCCAAUGAUUCUGAAAUUGUAUGUAAUUAUUUCUCUUCAUAAUGCUGGUGAAGUUAUAACCAAUUUAUGUUCUUGCCUCAUACAUUCAGAGGGAUACGGCUUGGUAGAGAUGUGGCAGGAAGCAGAGGGUGAAGAUGACAGAAGAUCUUUGACAGAGGUUACUCACUGAGCUGGGGGCUAGGGAUUUGAGCACAUAGCUUCUUACAAAGAAGUUACUUCCCAAUAUUGUGGGAGUAUUGUGAUUUGAUUGUAUUGUCUUACUAUGAAAGUGGGGUGAUCAAAUUGACCACAUUGGUGAUGAUCAAUAAAGCCACGGGAAUGGUUAGGAUUAACAUUUACAUCAUUAUUCAUCCUGAUCUCAAUUGUCCCACUUUGGUUAUGAAGUGUUGCCUUAUUGUGAAAGGGGUUUUCAAAUUGACUACAUACUCUUACACCAUUUGUUAUGCUCAAAGUAGUCAUCUAAUCUAACAACCAAUUAAUUGCUCAAAAGAUCAAUGUGUUUAUGUGAUUCAAGGAACAUCAAAUUAGUCAUAAGCUAAUACAAUCUUAAGGUCAACACUAAGAUGAUAAUACUACUAAUGGGUUGUUAUUAAUUUAUAUUAAAGUAUUAGAGUUGUACAUAAUUCUAUAAAUUUUCAAAUUAUUAGAGAACAAAAUAAUUUUCUAAAUGCUUGGGAAGAAAGAUGCAUAUAUAAAUAACAUGAUUAGCAUAAUUAAGUGGAGUUGAUUUUUGUUACAAAGAAGGAACCAUAAAACCAAUGGGGGUACAUCAUUUCCUUUAUGUUAUAGGAAAUUGCCUUAGAAUGUAGCACUGCUUCCAAUAUUAUUUGCAUAAACAGAAUAUAUAAUUAUAAUUAUUAUAUAUAUAUAUAUAUAUAUAUAUAUAUAUAUAUAUAUAUAUAUAUCUAUAUAUAUUAAAAUCCCUUCAAAAAUGUAUAAAAAGCUGUUAACAUUUGUGUCCCCUUCCCCUUGUCUCCCUUCAGUGAUGCAUAUUAAUUCAUCUUUCACCUCAAUGAGCGGUGCUUGAUAUUGACAUGGUGGGUAUGGAAACCGUGUGGACCUCCCAUUGAUUGAACCAUUGAAUCCAAUGCCAGCCUCCCAGUUUCAAAAUAUCAAAGCCAUUCAACCAUGAUAUUAACAUGAUUAAAAUAUCAACAUAGUUUCUCAACAUGAUGAUAACUGAUCUUUAAAUGUUUUAGGAAAACAUUCAAGUGCUCGAAUUCGAAUUCAAAUCAAGGGGAAAAGGGCUUAGAUGCAACAUAGUAAAUUGUUUUGGAUUUCCUUGAAACAUAGUAAAUUUAGUAUUUUUUUCUGCAAGCGUUUAUAAUUAAUGGACUUAGAUGUGGAUACCUAGAUGCAGUUUUCUAUUCCAAUAUUAGAGUUGCUAUGGAAAAGAUGAAUGAAGGAAACCUAUAAAUGAUGAAACUUAAGCUAGCCAAGGACGCAGAGGAUUCAAGUUGGUGCCGAAUCAAAGAAUGAAGAAUCAUGCAUUGCUUUCCAAAUAUUCCUAACUUGUAAUGUUUACUUGUCACUCAUUCAGCCUCUUCCAUUGUAAUCCUAAACUGAAACUCCCUGUAAACUAUCUUGAACUAUUACAUUUUCAUUAAUAAUGUUUCCAAAGUUCUCACAAGUUCUCAUUUUCCUUUCCUGCUUAUUUGACCUCCAAUUUCCAUUGUACAUUCAGAUGGGUCCAGCUCGACAGGAAUGUUCCAUUCCUUGAUGAAUAGAUGAUUUUGGCUGCAGUUGCUAGUCAAGCAAUGAAAGCAAACAAAUACGUACGUCUGCCCAUCUGCCCAUUCACGAUACCUGACUUCCAAUUUCAGUGGCUUACCAUUUCCACUUUCAGAUACUAAUAGAAAAUUCCUCUGAAGAUGUAGGAAGGGGAAAAGAAUGGUGAAGAUUAUAUGAAAAUUUUCCUACUCAUAGCUGCAAUCUAUUCCCAUGUUGGUAUGUUAUUGAUUUCUCCAAAAGAUGUUAUUUUUUUCCUUUUAUCUAUUUGUGCAAGUUGAUUGACUUCAUUCUUUAUACUAGCAUACUUCUAUCACCAAUUUAGUUGUUUUUUGUAAGAUGUUUCAUUCAUGUCUUCACCAAGAGGUGGAUUUUGUGCAAGUUAUGUCUUGGCAUCUUCUCUUAAUUUUGUUCUCAUGCUGCUUUGAUCCUCUGUUUUGGCAGACACAACUUUCUUCUAGCUUAGUGUGAUUGACCUGACUUUACAUAUAUACUUAUGAAUUGUUUUGCUGCAAAGCAAUGCAGUUUCAUGUAUGAAACUCUGAUGUGAUAUCUUUUGAUUUUAAAAUUCCGGAUUGCAUUUACUCUUUUCAGGAAUUAUAUGUUACUUCUUUAGAGCUUUGAGACUAGAACAGUAUCUCAAAAUUAAUAGAAGUUCAUUGUUUGCUUAUGCAUGUUAACUUUAAGGACAAUUUAUGUUGAGGCUAUAACAGUUUCAUUUCGGUUUCAGUUUUGUAAGAAGGGCUGUUGGUUGCAACUCUUCUGAAUUUUAUUUUUAUAUCACAAAAAUGGAAACAGAGACCAUGUCAUUCACAAAAGACAACUCUUAUGGAGUUGAUAUGAGUUUCUAAUUUGACACUCGAAAAGUUGAAACAUAAAUUUUUCCCUUUGAUACCAUUGAAAUUCUCCUGCAGUUCUGUUCAUCUCAAAUGUCCUAAGCUUAUGUCAUUAUUUUCCAAAGGAAAUUUCCUAUUCUAAACAAAAUGUCUAAAGGAGAAAGAAGGAUAUUGAUUCAAACUACGUAGAUCCCCUGUUCUGCUAUUUCAUUGGUUGUAUGAGUUGGAACUAAAUUCUGUUUUCCCUGAACAAAAAUAGAAGCAGAUACCUUACUUCCUUCCCUUGUUUCAUGCAGGUAUGCCUGCCUACUCACAAAUCAACAACGGUUAUAUCAAUGGUUCAACAACAGUGGUAGUUGUUAUAUAGACAGAAAUUUCCUUUCUGCAUGUAGGAGGAAAAGAACAACAAGGGUGAUGAAUUAAAAAAAUUUCCAACCAAAGCUCAGCCUAUUCAAAUGGUGGUUUGUUAAGGACGUCAACUGUAGAUGAUGGCUUUUUCUCUUUCUUUUCAAGUAAGUCUGAUAGUUUUCUGCUCUGGAGGUUGAUAUGCUCAUCUUUUGUUUCAUUGUGAUGGUAUGGCAAAGUAAAUUACUCUUCGAUUGAUCACUAUAGCUUUUCAUUGAUGGUUUCACUAGAGAUUGAUUUGGAAUGCAAUUAUGUAUGGCAUUCUCUUGAGUUCUGUUCCUCACAGUGCUCUUUUCCUCUAUUCCCCUUUCUUUGUACAAUUAUGAUAUUUAUAUUUGUAUGUAUGAUUUUUCAAGAUGAAAGAAACUUGAUCAGCAUCCUAUUACCUUUUGCAACAUUUUGACCCUGGCAUCACCUCUGUAUAGUUCCAGCAUGGCUUAUGAACUCCUUUGCCACAAAACAAAGGCAUGUGUGCAUCUUGAGGUCUAGUAAGAUAUAUUUUAGUUGCACAAAACCUUUAGGCUCCCUUUGGAUCAUUAAAAGAGCUAAGGACAAUCAUGGUAGAAAUAUCAAAAUUCUCUUAUUUGGUUUACCAUGGAAAGUACAAAGCAAAAUCAAGUAUAAUCAAAUUUAACUAAAAUUUUACAUAUUUUUUAAUUCUUCAUUCUUUACAUAGAGGAAGAAAAAAACACGUGUUUGAAGAAACAUGUAUGAAAAUAUUAUUACGUUUAAUAUGUAUUUUAUUAUCUUUCUUCGUCUUUACUUUCAUUCUACUUUCUCCUUUUUUCCCCUCAAAUUUUCCAUGAUCCGAACAAAGUCCCACUGUUUUUUAUUUUAGAUCUUUCACAAAAAUUGCUUUGAAGGAGAAAGAAGGAUGUGUUUGAAAGUUUUUAAAACAAAAUGUAUAUUACACUUAAUAAACACGAAGCAAUUUCCUCUUUGACCUAUAAUCUUCCUCUUUUUUACCAUAUCAUUGUUGGUGCAUGGAUGAUGUGCUUAACAAAUAUCCUAGCACAACAAGAAUUGCAUGGUGAUGUUUAAGGUUGUAAAUGUAAUUGUAUUACAAUGUAGAAAAUUUUUUAAUUGUGAUGUUUUUUUAUUCGUACUUAUUUUGGCAUCUAGACUUAAUCUUAUGCAUGGCAUUUCCUCUGUGCUACAAAGUUUGCCUUUGGUCGGACAAAAAUGAUCAAUGAAUGUCAUGAUAAAGGUUUUCCUGAAGGCUUCCUGUUAAUCAAUUUGACCUUAACUUUCUCUAAGUUUGGGAAUGAUUGGGAAUAAUUGCAGAGUGGUUGUGGAGGGAUUUUACGUGGCAAAGAAUGGGAAAUAAGUUAAGAAUUAGAAUCAUGGAUGAUUUUCUCACCAUAGUGGGUUCAGGUUAGAGAAGGUUGGGGUCAUUAAAUGAGGUCUUAUUAGGAAAAUGGCUUUAUAGAUCUGCAGUGGGGACCCAUUGUGGAGGAAGAUGGUAAGAAGGAAGUAUUGGAGAAAAAUGAGGUGAAGUUUAUUUGGUGAGUUUGCAAAAAGGCAUUGGAAAUAAUUGUCAAAAAAUUUGAUAAACCUACAACACACACAUGAUUGGGGUGAAAAGAACAAGCUUAGAUUUUGGCUGGAUGUUUUGUAUAGUGAUAUGAUCCUAAAUUGAAUCCUAUCCAUACCCAAUGAAAUUGUUCAUGAGAUGUAGAGUGGAGCUAAAGGGAGCUCUUCUUUGUAGGAAGCAUAAGACAGUAGAGUGUCAAGGAAGGUAUAAAUUUUCAUGGGGAAGACCCAUUCAAAUAGAGUUAUUAUUACUGAUAAUUAGGUGAACAAAGGAAAUGCCCCUCCCAAAUUGCUUCUAUUGGAUUGUUAAAUAGGCAAAAAAAAAAACAGUAGAUCAAUUGGUGAUGCAUUUUUUGGUGACUACAGGUUAAUGGCAAUCUUGGGUGUUGUAGGUAAGGAGUUGUUAUCAGGUUGUCAUAGAAAAGUUGUGGCUUAGAGCAUGAGUACUAUGUAGAUGGUAGUGAUUUUAAGUUUUUAGUCUAGAAUGGAUGGAGAAAAAAGAAAUUUAAGAAAUUCUUGAGGGAAAGAGGCUCCUUUAACAUAUAAGAACAAAGGGGGUUCUGUCAUGAGUUUUCUUGAUGAUGUACAACUGUCCAAUGCAUUCUCUUCCUUUGACAGUUAUCUUUUCAUCUUUUUCCUUUUCUAUUUCCUUUUGGGAUCCACAUAUACACUUUGAAUCAUCUAUAUGCUUUAAACUCUUCUGUAUAGAGCAAUUAAGAACAUAUUGUGUUUAUUGAUUAGAUCCUUAUAAACAGUUGUUUUCAUUUAGUAAGAUGAGUCCAUUUAUAGUUCAUUGGCUUACAAUAAGAUUUUUUUCCAAAAUUUCAGGCAUUCAUGUUUGGACACAUUCUUUAGGAGGGAGGCUACAACAUGGUCUUGCUCCUUCUAGAAGCUCAAUAGAUCUUGUUGCAUUUUUGGAGUUCCAGUACUAAGGUAAGACAAAACUAUAGGUAUAUAUAUAUAUAUAUGUAUGUAUGUAUUGCUUUUGAAGCUUUAGCAUGUGGACUUGGUCAAUGCUAUAAGCUUGUUGAACACAAUUACAUCUAUUGGCUUCUAACUACUCCCUGUUAUUUCUUCUCUCCCACUCAAUGCCACAAAACUAGAAUCUGCAGGUUGACUUUGGUGCAUCUAUUAGUGUUGGUCUCCUCAGUUCCAAAGCCUCAUACUGGAUAGAAGAGCCUCAUUAACUCCCUAGUCAUUGGAAUACCUUAAAGGGGAGUUGUGGGUCUUAUCAAAUAGUUCAAAAAAUACUUGGCUAUGUGCUUCUUUUUCAUUUUGUCCAAGCCACUUUGCUUGCAGAUACUUCCACAAAGCUACUAUUGCAUUUAUAUUGAUGGGUCUGUUAUAAUUUACCAAUACUAAUAUUACAAAAUUUUCAUUAUAAUAGAAAAGACCAUUUAAUUAUAUAUUUAUUAAAAAUUCAACUCAAAUCCAAUAUAGCACCUAUGCUACAUAAGAAAUGUGUUAGAGUCUUUUUUUUUUUUAAUGACAACUUCAAAUAAUUAGGAAGAAAUGGUGCAACAAGAAUAAGAAUUUCAAGAAUAUUUGAAAAACAUUUAUUCUAAGUAGAAGAGCAACUUUUAUGUGAGUUAUUGCUCUCGGAAGAGAUUGGAAGCCUGGUCAACCUUGACAUCUCAAUCUUAUUAAUGCUCUCGAGUUAUAAAAUUGAAACAUUUGUUGUUGAAUCCUUAGGAAAAUAUUUGGAUAUGGAAAAGUCGUUGAUUUAAAGGAUGAUGGAAUGGAGUUCAUGAGAUAAUGGAGAUCCCAAAAACCAAAGAAAUGGAAUAGGCUAUCUUGAUCCUUAUUUGAAUCUUACAGUUGUUUUUUUACUAUUUUAUGGUGGAAUAAUAAAUUUCAAAGUCAAAUGAGGAAUUUUCAUUCUCAAUCGUAGAAAUCUACUUGAGGAUGGAUGGAGAAAGGAUUAUUUGAGUGAUAACUGAUAGAAUAAAUAUGGACCGACAUCAUAUUAACCAUUGUUCAGGAUUUAGCUAUCUGUUUAUAUACGAUUUCUAGUUGAUCUAGAGUAUGGGCCACCUAAUAUGUAGAGCUCAAUGCUAUCACGAGCCUUAGAUGAUGGGCCUAAGACUCGUGAGGCCCAAUAACCCAAUGGGUAUAGUUCCUAAGGCAGGAGGGUAUAAAAAUAGGGUGAGGCUUUUGUCUGUUCUAUUAUUUUAUCGCAUCUUUUGAAACAAACAUCUUUUGAACAAAAGGAACCUGUUCUCUCCCACUCCCAUUGUCAUAGAGAAUCCAGUUAGAGGUGGCACCCUCUACAACCUUUGAAGAUCCAUACUUUUUCAUCAAAAGCACAAAAUGGAUUCAAGUUGGUUCUCUAUCUAGUGAUUGUUGUUGAAUAUAUCCAGUAUCUGUGUGUUUGGUGUUAAUGGAGAAUAUUGAAGUUUAACAAUUUGGUAUCAGAGCCCAAGGUUCCGAUUCCAUUUUCACCAAAAACAAUCUUAAAAAAAAAAAAUAAAAAAAGAGUAUUUAAGGCGUUGUUACAAGCCUCCUUAUAGGCGUUCAGAUGUCGUUCAAGGGCCAUCCGACGCCGUUCAGACGCCGUUUAGAGGCGUCGUUUCAGGCGCCGUUCAGGUGCCAUUCAAGGCGCACCUCAGCCACCAUUCUGACAUUGUUUAGGCCCGAUUUAGAGGCGUUGCAGCGACGUCUUUCAGGCGAUGUUCUGAUGCCGUUUAGGCGCAAUUGGAGGCGCUACAGGCAUCCGUUCUAGGCACCAUUCAAGAGUCAUCUUAGUUUCAAGCUACGCUGGCGAUUCCAAUCCACAACGUCACUGUUCUGGUGCCAUUUCUAGCAAAAUGGUGGCAUCUUCCUUAUGAUGCCACUUGUAGGAACGCUGCAGACAUCGUCGUUUGGCGUCAUUUUCCCAUGAGAAGCUCAAUCUCCCUGCACUAUUGCAGGGUGCUGACGCUGUUCAUGGGGUUUUUCGGUUGGAAAUCAGAGAGGUUUAGAUGUCGUUUGGCGUCGUUUUCAGUUGAAGACGCCGUUUUGAGGAUAGCUCCGGCGCCAUUUUGGCGCCGUUGAUGAUAUUGCUGCCAACGUCCUUUGCUGUCAUUUGGCAGUGCCCUUUGGUUGAGUAAUGUAAAGAAAAUAUUAGAAUUUUGAUAGAAACCAACUUGAUGGUCAUGUGGAGUCUAUGGGUAUUUUAAUUGUGUGAUCAACCUACAAUCCUUUCAACUACAGAUCCUAAACCAUAAAGUCAGUAAAAAAAUGAUACAAAAUAUUUGAUAAAAUAUUGGCAUGGAAUAUUACAAAGAAAUAGGCUUUAAUUAUCAAUAGGCCACAUGCCCAUUCAUGGCCUAAGCCAGAAUGGCUACCUUAAUGACCAGUGGGCCAAACCCCCCAUGCAAGCAAUUUUUAAAGGAAUUUUCAUGGACAUAACCGAACCUUUUAAAGAUCACAUUAAAGAUAAUAUAUAUAUAUAUAUAUAUCACUUGCAUGCAAGAGAAUAGGAGAAAUAAACAAGUUCCAUUUAUUAAUCAUUUAGUUUAUAAAUUUCUUGGAAUCCUCUUUCUCCAGAAAUAGGAUGGAUUAACUUGUUUUGAGCUCUUUCUUGUAAAUAAAUAAAUUAAUAACUUGCUAAAUUUGUGUUUAAUAUUUUAAAAUAAAUGAAUUAGGUACGUUAAUUGCCAAAGUAACUUAUAUUAUAUAAUUUAUUUAUUUUAUAAUAUCUAAACAUGUUAUUAUUAUUAUUUUAAUAUAAUAAUAAAUAAAGUAGUCAUAAAUAUGUGACAUAUAAUGUUUAUCUUGCAUUCGAUAUGUUAGUCCAAAGACAUGCAUAUUGUUUUCGGUUUUAUUACUUCUCAAUUUUGUUUGUUUAGAAAUUAAUUUAGUUAUAAUGCCUAUUGACACUUGGUGGAUAGAUACAAGUACAACUACUCACAUAAGUGUCACUAUGCAGGUUUGCCUAAAGAGUCAAAUGCCAACUGAUGGUGAAAGAUACAUCUAUGUGGGAAAUGGCAACAAGGCUACAAUAAAGGCUAUUAGUCUUUUUAAAUUACAGUUAGACUCUGGAUGUACAUUGGAUUUGGAAGAGACUUUUGUGGUACCGUCGUUUAGACGAAAUUUAAUUUCUGUUUCAUGUCUAGACAAAUUUGGAUAUUAUUGUUCAUUUAGAAAUGAAAUGGUUAAUCUUUAUCUAAAUUUAAAUGUUAUUGAUACAAGUAGUCUAACAGACAAAUUAUACAAAUUGAACAUAAAGGCCACUAUGAAACCUUGCAUUCAAGUAAUUAUGGCAUUAAGCGAAAAUUAACGAAUGAGAAUUCAUCAAUGUUAUGGCACAAGCGUUUGGGUCAUAUUUCAAAUCAACAGAUUCAAAGGCUUGUGUCAGAAGAAAUUCUUGAUCCAUUUGAUUUCUCAGACUUUCAAGUCCGUAUAGAGUGCAUUAAGGGUAAACAAACAAAUAUGAGGAAAAAGGAUGCUAAUAGGUGCAACGACGUCUUGGAAUUGAUACAUACAAACAUUUGUGGUCCAUUUCCUACCCCUUCUUGGAAUGGACAACAAUAUUUUAUCAUUUUCAUUGACGAUUACUUGCGCUAUGGCUAUCUUUAUUUGAUUCAUGAGAAGUCUCAAUCAUUGGAUGUGUUCAAGAAUUUCAAAGCUGAAGUUGAGAAGUGUACCUUUCUUUUCACGCGAAGCAACGUAUUUGGUACAUGUGUUCUUCAUAUGACCAACCUUCUUGCAAAAGAAACAAGUUAUCUCCUUAUCUUGUUUAUUCUGCACAUUUUUCUUUGAUGUCCCAGAAACUGCAAUUUGUUUUCCUUUAUUGUCCUUCUUUCUUUUCUUGUUGGUACCAAAUCCCUGAUAUGUGGAAGCCAAGUGAGCACUUUCUAUCUUUUCUUGUUUCAAUCUCUCAUUCUCUUGUACACACUAAGCAAUAAGCUCAUUCAAAGUCCAUUUUUCCUUUUGUGUGUUGUAACUGAUUUUGAAUGGACUAAAUUGUGUAGGUAGAGAGAUCAAGACCAAGUGCAUGAGUAUGUCCUCCGAAAACUCUAACUUUAGUGCCUUGAGUCUCGUCACAAGAUUAGACAUUUCCAUAAUGUACUACCUUAUAUUCUCUUUCCCUUUGUAUCGCAUGGAGACAAGCGUACUAAGAAUAGUGCUUGUCUCAACCUCUUUGUUUGCAGCAAAUCGAUUUGCUAUCUGGUCCAAGAAUGCCUUGGUUCGGGUUUCCUCAGGUAUUGCACCUCUUAUAGCUUCUAGAAUUGAGUGCUUCAUUAUCAUAAGACUCAUGCGAUUGGAUCGCUCCUAUUUUUCCAUAGUAGACCUUUGCUCAACAGUGAUGGCACUAGUAAGGUUUGGAGGGCGAUCCUUUCUUUAUGCAUAGUCUAAAUCCAUGCACCCGAGCACAAUUAUAACGUGCUCCUUCCAUUUCUUGAAGUUUGUGCCAUUAAGCACAAGAAUGCUAUUGACAUUUGCAAAUAUAGAAGAUGUUGAAUUCAUAAUAAUAAAGCUCACAAUUAGUCACAUAAACAUCAUACAUACAUGAAUAAAUAAACAUCAUACAAGAUACCUAGCACAAACAUUAAUAUUCGGUGUUUGGACAAAAACAUCAACUUGUAAUUGACAUCCUUAUACAAAAUUAAUUCAUAAAUAUUUGAUGGAGUGUGGUAUCGUUCCUUAAUACACCAUGCUAGGGACUCCAAACGAAAAUGGUAUAGUAGAAAGGCGAAACCGUACUCUUAAGGAUAUGGUAAGAAGUAUGAUCAAUCAUUCCACAUUCCCAGAACCACUUUGGGGCAAAGUUGUCAAAACUGCAGUUUACAUUUUGAAUAGAGUCCCAAGCAAAGAAGUAGCCAAAACCCCAUAUGAGUUAUGGACUAGCAAGAAACUUAGUAUUAGUGUAGACCCUCAAUUUUGUCCCUUUAGCACAUGUCUUUAAAUUCAUUUUCAGUGUUCCACAGUAGUUCCUUAAUGGUCCAUUGCUACUCAUACUACUUACCUUUUUUGAGCCACCUCGAAGACUUUGGUUGAGGGAUUUAUCCAGUUCCACAUUAUGACCUUGGAUGCCCUUCAAGUUUAGAUUAGGCUCCAGUUAGGUACACUUUAGGUUGGACUUAGUUAGGCCCACCUAUUCUCACCCUAGGCCCGUAUAAGUAUACUUAGCCCAUUAGACAUCACCAUAAGCCUAUUUAGGACACUUAGUUCACUUAGGCCCACUUAGUCCAUUAAUGUAGACUUAGAUACCAUCCUAAACAUCCUAGACACCUCCCGACUUGUACACAUUCACCCGAGGUCACCUAAACACUUUUUCAGAAUAGGUCACUUAGACACUUCUUUUGGCAUAGUUCACUUAGGCAUGUUUUUUAUUUUAUUUUUCCGAGAUAAGAUGAAUAUUAGCUUGACUAUAUAUUGCAUGAAAUGAAAUUUUAUUUUUUUAUUUUUGAGGGUUUGAGUUUGACAUUUAAAUUAUUAUAAUCCGUUGCAUCAAUUUUAAAUUUUUUCUAUUUUUUCUUCCUAAUUGCAUAUGUCCAAUAUUUAUUUUUAUGCCCUUAUCAAUCUAUUUUUUUAUUUACUCAAUUAUUUAUUCAUUCUUUAAUUCCAUGAAUUGACAUCUUGGAUUCUAUAGCUAUGUGAUUUGAUUUUCUACUUGAUUUUAUUCUACUCCUAAAUAAGUGAUUUUUUUCUUUGAACUUUAUUUUAUUUUUUAUUUUUUAUUUUGCAUGAGAAUGGGAAAACUACCAAUUGGUCCUAGAGAGGAAUGAGGGCUGAUCAUGUUGUUCUUUGAGUGGAGAAGGCACAACACUUUGGGAGCAUUCAGCACGCACCCUUGAGGAAUCCCAGACAUGCGGCUUGCAUUCUUAAUCUAACCGCACCACAUAAGGACAACGAUUUGAAUGAAUUCAUGCACCAUUCACUCAUUCUAAAUAAGCAGUCUACCAUGUUGCCUAUAGGAAGGAAGUGGCCAUUUUGUGCACAACACGCAUAUAGUGGGCUGUAACAGAGAUUCUUUUUGUUUUUAGAAAGAAAAGUCAACAUGCUUUAUCACUUACCAAAUAAGACACGACUGCAUCCUUAGAGAAAUCUCCAAGUAAGCCACACAUGUAUAGACUUCCUAUAUUCACGCGCAUUUCUAGAAAGGAAACAAAGAAUUCCAUAGAAAGGAUGGGUUGCCAUAUAAAUAUUAAAAAAAAAUGACAAAAUGAAUGGGGAGGAACAAAUUUUUUAGGGAAGAGACACGCAUAGAGAAAAAUAGUCUUCGGCAAAGAAAUCCACACAGAGAAAAAUACUUUUGGGCAAGGAAGUUCACACGCAAAGGAGAAUUUUUUGAAAGGAGGACAUGCACAAGAAUUUUGGGAGGAGAACAGAAGAUUUCAGAUGAGAAACAGGUUGCCACUUUGAUACAUCUAGAGAGUCUUAUUUCCGAUACAACACGGGUUAGUUUUCGUUUCCGAUAGAGCAUAUUUUUUUAGUUUAGAUUUUAGUCCACUGGUUUAAUUAAUUCUUUGUGAUAAAUUCUUUUAAAUAUCAAUUCGUACAAAUCUUUUAUUUUUCUUAGAUUAGAUUUUUUUUUUUUGUGGUUAUAGUUCAUUAGUUCCAUGCUAGUUUAUCUUAAUUUAUAUGACAGUUUAAAUAAAGUUAGUGUUUUUUUUUUAAUUUCAAUUAGUUUGAUUUUAAUUUGUUUUUAGUUUAAAUACAUUUGUUGAUUUUAAUUCUUUAGUUUAAAUAAUCAUAUUGAAUAAAGUUUGUGUUUUUAAUUCCAAUUAGUUUGAUUUUAAUUUGUUUUUAGUUUAAAUACAUUUGUUGAUCUUAAUUCUUUAGUUUAAAUAAUCAUAUUGAAUAAAGUUUGUGUUUUUAAUUCCAAUUGGUUUAAUUUUAAUUUGUUUUUAGUUUAAAUACAUUUGUUGAUCUUAAUUCUUUAGUUUAAAUAAUCAUAUUGAAUAAAAUUUGUGUUCUUAAUUCCAAUUAGUUUGAUCUUAAUUUGUUUUUAGUUUAAAUAUAUUUGUUGAUCUUAGUUCUUUAGUUUAAAUAAUCAUAUUGAAUAAAGUUUAUAUUUUUAAUUUCAAUUAGUUUGAUUUUAAUUUGUUUAAAUACAUUUGUUGAUCUUAAUUCUUUAGUUUAAAUGGUCGUAUCAAAUAAAGUUUGUGUUUUUAAUUCCAAUAAUAUUAUUAAAUAGAAUUUAAUUUCAAUUUAGUUUGAUUUUAAUUUAUUUUAUAAUUUGAAUGCGUUCAUGAUUUUAAUUCAAUUGUUUAAUUAACCCUCUUAGACAAAUCCCAUAUUUUUAAUUUCGAUUUUAGUUUAAUUUUAUUUUUUUAAUUAAUUUAUUUGUUUAAAUAUAUUUGCAAUUUCAAUUUGAUAGUUUAGCCAAUCUUAUUAGAUGAUGUUAAUGUUUCUGAUUUAAUCUAAUGUCAAUUAUUUUUAGUAUUGGAUGUGUUUGUGCGUUUCUAAAUUCGUUAAUUUUGAUUUUAAUCCAUUUAUAUCCAAUUUAGUAGUUGAUCACAAUUUUAGUUAAUUAAUUUAGUCAAUCACAUGAUAUCAUAUUCACAUUUUAAGUAUGAAAAUUUCAUAUUUGAUUUGUCAAUAUUUAGUAUGAGUUUUUUUGGAUAAUCAAUCUAGUUCAUUGCAUGUUAUUGUUUUCAUAUUUUCAAGUUUGCUAAACUUUGGUUUUUUUUUUUUUAAUUUAUCAUAUUUUGUUAGAGUGCUAAUUUACUUUAAUUGAUUCCACAUUAUUGUCUCCAUAUGCUAAAUUUGUUGACUUUAAUCCUCGAUUGUUCUUUUCUAUCAUGUGUUUCUUGAAAUCUAGAUGUUAGUUUUGGAUAAUAUUUGUGUUAGUUUGUUUGAUUAGGAAAUCAUUAGUUUGACGCAUUAGUGAUUGUUGGUUAAAUAUUUUUUUUAGGACCAUUGGAAACCCAUGAAGGUUGGCCCUAUUCUCAUCAGUUUAAUUGACAUGAUUUUCAAAAUCUUUAUUUUGUGAUCUUCGUUCCCUUUUUUUUUAUUGAUAUUUUGUUUUCUAUGUUUUGUUAUUUUAAAAAAAAUUAAUUUCUUUUAUUUUAAAACAAAAAUACUUUUCUCAAAAGAUUCCUUUAAAAAUCUAUUUCAAAAACUCAUUUAGAGUCUUCAGGAUCAAAAUCUCUUCUUUUUUUUUAAAAUAAUGUGCAACCAUAUCUUGAUCGGUUUGCAUCUUUCUUGGUUUUAAUUUAAUGAAAAUUUUGGUUUCGAACAAAACACAAACCAAAGCUUCUGGCCUCAAAUAAAUGGGAUAAUUCUAGGCUAAAUUCAUGUAUAUUAAUUUGGGGAAUUGGUGAAACCCCUACAUAAGAAAAUCUUUUCAAUACUUAUUUUUGCUACCACUCUUUCCAUUUGUCUUAAUCAUAUCUAUCUAUUUUUUUAGGAAUUAUAUACAAGAUGCGUGUGAUACUUGAUUAUUUUGUACAUUUUGAAUCAUUUUUUCUAUGCUAAUUAGAUAUGCAUGUUAGGAUUUCUUGUUUUAUUAUUUAUUAAUUAACCCCUCAUGCCCUGAGGAAGCGAAUUACGAGUUAUCUAUGCUAUCUAGGUACGUCCCCUAUCACCUACUUUCUAAAUUCUGUAAAUAUGAUUGUCAUUGUGAACUAUGCAUAUGUUUGACAAUGCUUAGGUGCUUUGAUAUAUUUGUUUCAUUGUUCAAUCAUUUAUGAUAAAACGCAUGUUGGGUGAUAUAUUAUUUAAACUAACCAUUGAUGUUUUAUGAUAGUGCUCAAGAAGUGGUCUAGGUACGCACCCUAAAUCUUUUAUAUGAUUAUGAUUGGUUUUCUUGUUAGGCAUGUUAUUUUUUAAAUCACCUAGCCUUCUAUAGUUAACCGAUUAAUUGCCACAUUUCCCUCAACUUAGUCAGUAGAGACCUUUGUAGGGCUUAGAGGGGUACUACCUUUUAGAGGUAUAUUUGUUGCCAAUAAGUAACCUGAUCUCCGGACUUAGACUCGAGUUUUUCAAAGACAUGUUUUUUCCAAAGACAUGUUUUUUCCAAAAAAUUAUGGAGUCAUUUUUUAAGGUUUUAUUUCUUGCUUUAUUUUCCUUUUCAAAAAUAAAAUAAAAUAAGUGGUGACUCCGACUUUUCCAAAAAUUAUUUUUUCACAAAUAAAAGUGAGUCUUGCUAAUCGAGUGGGGGCACACGUGAAAAAUACGGGUCCACAAUUAGGCACUUGCAUGUCUGGGGUUGUCCAACUGAAGCUAGGCCUUACAAGCCAAAUGAAAAGAAAUUAGACUCCAGAUAGUGAGCUGCUACUUUGUAGGGUAUUCUGAAAUGUCAAGAGGUUUCAAAUUUUAUGACCCCUCAACUAGAUCUUUCUUUGAAAUGGGUAAUGCUAAGUUCAUUGAGGAUGUUGAGUUAAGUGGGAGAGAGCCAUUAAGAAAGGUGAUCUUUGAAGAGGAAUUUGUUAAUAUUCCUAUUAUUAUGACUGGACAUGGUCAUAUUAUGUUUGAUGACACUAUUCAAAAUGUACAUUCGAUAAUAGAGAUUCCUCCUGCUCAAGUUAUGGAACUGAUUCAAGUUCAUGAAGAGGUAACUCAACAACCUCAAGAACCUCAAGUACAAGUGCCACUGAGGAGAUCCACUAGAGAAAGGAGAAGUACAAUUUCAUAUGAUUAUGUUGUAUAUAUCCAAGAACAUGAGUUUGACAUGGGUCUGGAAGACGAUCCAAUUUAAAUUAGUCAAGUCAAACAAAGUUCUGACUUUGAAAAGUGGAUAAAAGCCAUGAAGGAUAAGAUGAAAUCAAUGAAGGACAAUGGUGUUUGGGACCUAGUAGAGUUGCCUGGAGGUGUAAAGCUGAUUGGUUGUAAAUGGAUUUUUAAGACCAAGCGGGAUUCAAAAGGCAACAUUGUUAGAUAUAAGGCACGCCUAGUCGCAAAAGGUUUCACUCAAAAGGAAGGCAUUGAUUAUAAGGAUACUUUUUCACCGGUUUCAUCAAAUGACUCCUUUAGAAUCAUCAUGGCACUUGUAACUCAUUAUGAUUUAGAGCUACAUCAAAUGGACGUUAAAACUAUGUUUCUUAAUGGCAAUACGGAUGAGACAAUAUACAUGGUGCAACCGGAGAACUUUGAGUCUAAUGAUUCAAAGCAACCUGUAUGCAGAUUAAAAAGGUCUAUAUAUGGUUUAAAGCAAGCAUCCCGACAAUGGUACCGAAAGUUUGAUCAGGUGAUUACUUCAUUUGGUUUUAAGGAGAACACCGUUGAUCAAUGCAUAUACCUCAAGUUCAGUGGGAGCAAAUUCAUUAUCUUGGUGUUAUAUGUUGAUGAUAUUCUUCUUGCAAGUAGUGAUGUGGGACUUUUGCAUGAAACCAAGCGAUUUCUAUCUAGUAAAUUUGACAUGAAGGAUCUUGGUGAUGCAUCUUUUGUAUUGGGUAUACAGAUCCAUAGGGAUCGUUCAAGAGGUAUUCUUGGGCUAUCACAAAAGGCUUACAUCGAUAAAGUGUUGAGUAGAUUUGGCAUGAGUAAUUGUGCAUUAGGAAACACGCCUGUGGCAAAAGGCGAUAAAUUUAGUUUGCACCAAUGUCCGAAAAAUGAACUUAAGAAGAAGGAUAUGGAGAGGUUUCCCUAUGCCUCGGUAGUAGGAAGUCUCAUGUAUGCACAAGUUUGUACGCAUCCGGAUAUUGUGUACAUUGUUGGAAUGUUAGGUAGAUAUUUGAGUAACCUAGGUAUGGAUCACAGGAAAAAGGCAAAACGGGUUAUGUAGUAUUUACAAAGAACUAAAGAUUACAUGCUCACAUAUUGUAGAUCCAGUCAUUUAGAGAUCGUGGGAUAUUCUGACUCCAAUUUCGCGGGAUGUCUUGAACGCAAGAGAUCCACUUCAGGCUACAUCUUCAUGUUGGCUGGAGGAGCAAUUUCAUGGAAAAGUGUUAAACAAACACUUAUUGCUUCUUCCACCAUGGAGGUAGAAUUCAUAGCUUGCUACGAAGCAUCAAACCAUGGGAUAUGGCUACGAAAUUUUGUCACUCAAUUGCGAAUCGUUGAUGGGAUUGAGAAGCCAUUGCGAAUCAAUUGUGAUAAUAAGGUCGCAGAAUUGUAUACUAAGAACAACCGAAGUUCAUCAAAGUCUAAACACAUUGACAUCAAGUUCUUGGUUGUGAAAGAAAGAGUUCAGAGUCUUCAAGUAUCGAUUGAACACAUAAGCACAAACUCCAUGAUUGCGGAUCGACUCACUAAGGGUUUGCCACCCAAAGUAUAUCAUGAGCACAUCACACAUAUAGGUGUUGUACACAUUGAUGAUGUGCUAGUAUAGUUGGAGUUUGUAUUUAGAUUUUGUGUUUAUUUUCUUGAUGUGAUAUUAUGUUGUGUUAUCUGUACAGACCUUGAUUUUAAAGAUUAUUGUAUUUAUAUUCUCUGAAUUGAAAUGAUGACUUUCAGAAGCAGUUUAGCAUCAAGUGUUGAAAGUGGUAUUUGACUAUUUUUAGUUGUAAAGUAGGAUCAAUUGGAAAUAGACAUAGUAAAGAUCACAUUCUAUGUAAUUUCCAUGCUACACAUCCAUACUUGAUCCAUGUUGCUAAUUUUGUUAAUGUUGUGAUCAUUGAUUGGUUUAGUUAUGAUUAUGAUUAACGAAGGCCGCUUUAAUCCUAUGCUAACAUAAUUAGUAGACCGGAAUGUUUAAGGAUAUUUGAAUAGGAUAGCAAAGAUGAGCUCAAUAAGGUACUAUCAUGAAUAUUGUUUUGUAAUAUAUGUGGUCUAAGUGGGAGAUUGAUAGAAUAAAUGUGGACCGACAUCAUAUUAACCAUUGUUCAGGAUUUAGCUAUCUGUUUAUAUAUGAUUUCUAAUUGAUCUAGAGUAUGGGCCACCUAAUGUGUAGACCCCAAUGCCAUCACGGGCCUUAGAUGAUGGCCCUAAGACUCGUGAGGUGUAAUAGCCCAAUGGGUAUGGUCCCUAAGGUAGGAGGGUAUAAAAAUAGGGUGAGGCUUUUGUCUGUUCUAUUAUUUUAUCGCAUCUUUUGGAACAAACAUCUUUUGAAACAAAAUGAACCUGUUCUCUCCCACUCCCAUUGUUAGAGAGAAUUCAGUUAGAGGUGGUGCCCUCCACAGCCUUAGAAGAUCCAUACCUCUUCAUCAAAAACACAAAAUGGAUUCAGGUUGGUUCCCUAUCCGGUGAUUGUUGUUGAAUAUAUCAUGUAUCUAUGUGUUUGGUUUUAAUGGAGAAUAUUGAAGUCUAACAAUAACAAGUUGAGAUUGAAGGAGUUGCUGAAAAGAAGUGGAAGCACUAACCCCUUCAAUCAUGUCCUCACAUUAUGUGACAUCUUGUAAGCAUAUUCACAACUCAUAUUCACUUUUCAUACUAGUUUGUUGUGGAAACGGUUUUUGAUAAGUGUACACAAUUUUAAAAAAUUAUUUGUAAACUAUAGUAGUGAAGAAAAUAUUUUUGAAUCUUUAAUAGUUUUUGCUGAAUAGGAAAAAGAGUUUAUCAUAUAAUUUGAUUCGGCUCUUAUAAAGACGAUUUCUAAAAAUUCAUAUAUUUAGGCAAAAAUCAUCUUUUGAAGAGCUCAUCCUUAAAUGUUCUUUAAAAAAAUCAAAGCAGAAAUCAUUUCUUCAAGAAAAGAUUUUUUUUUUUUUUAAAGAAAUUAUAUGCAAAAUUUAUCUCUUGAAGAGAUGAUUUCAAAAAAUUAAUUUUAAAGAAAAAAAUAUUUUUAUGCUACAUGUUUUUGUAUUAUUAUGUGUUGUAAAAUUAAUUAAUUUUAUUUAUUAAAUUCAAUACAUAAAAAUAAUUAUAAUUAUUUUUGAUAUAUUACUCAUAAUUAUAAUAUUUAUAAAAAUAUAAAUUAUAUUUAUCAUCUUAUAUUCAUUAAAAUAAUAUUUUGACCAUUAUCUUGAAUUUUAUCAUUCAAUUAAUUAAAUUAAUUAUUAUUAAAUUAAAUAUAAAUUAAUUUAAUUUUAUACUCAUAAUUUUAUCCUUUUGUUCUUUCUACUAUAAAUACCGGUUUAGGUUUAUUCAAUUCUCUUGACCUCGGUCUCCAUUAUCAUUCUUCAUCUCAUUCAAUUUUGGUUGGAUCUCUACGAAACCAUCUGACCCAACUUCUUCUUCUUCAUUUAUUUAUUUAUUUAUUUAUUUAUUUUUUAUCAUCCCUAAUAUCUCGGUCUCAAUCUACGAGACCAUCUGACCGAACUUCUUGCUAUCCUCAGUCACUAUAGUGUUUAUGACUUGUUCUAUUAUACUCCUCAAGCUGUUGUUGUAGAGGGGCCAGCUGCCUUCUCUUCUGCUUUGACACAGCAAUUUGAUUAGGCCCAAAUGCCAUAACCACCCCUUGACUGUUACCAAGGAGUGAAAUACAUGUCAUCCUAAAUUCCAUACAUUUUCUAAAAUGGACCUAUAUUCAGCAGCUGUAUUGGAAUACAUGUUAUCAGCAUGCUUUCAUCAUUUUCAUUUCUUAUAUUCUCAAAAAAUCAUAAAAGAAUUUUCAUGUCCCCCUUACCAAACAGACCCUCGAAUUAAUUUAGCACUUGACAUCAUUUCUCAAAUAUUUGCGUGAAAACGAUGAGAACGAUAUCAAGAAUGUCAAGAAUAUUGAUAAGAACUAUGAGAAAUCUACUUAUAAGACUCAAAGCAUCAAAUAUGCAUAGAAACCAUGUACAAAAAUCCCAUCAACAUAAAAUCACAGGUCUUUGUUGAUUUGCAGAGUAUAUAUAUUCAAUAUGAAAAACAAAUACACAAAUUUAUGUGAUUGACACAGUCUUUUCCCUUGAGACUUACUUUACCUAAAAUCUAACAGCUUCUGGGUCCUAGAGAUGUUCCAACAGCUUCUGGCCAUACUGCCGGCUCUGGUUUGAUAGGAUCAUUAUUCUUGAUUAUUGUCCUUAGGCAUCACAUUCAAAAUUCAACUAUAGCAGAUGUCUCUUCUAGUUUGGCCUUUUCAAACUUGGGUGCUUUGGAACUAUUCCCCGUAAUGAGAAUUCAAGCUUAUAAAAUCUUUUAAGACCAGCACUUCUAUCAUAAAUCUUGGUUGUCUCGACACUUGUACUACGAAUAGACCCACCAAAUUGAUUUUUUAAUUUCUCCCCUUGUAAAUUAUAGUCAACAAGAUUCUCAUUCAACUUAGUUUGGGCUAAAAACAAUUGCAGACUAUCAAGAAUAUUGUAAUGUCGUAAUAUGUAGACCGAUAUUAAUAUCCAGGUUUAAGGCUUUGGUGGAUAAAUGAAGGGUAUGGACACAUGUCCUUAGAUGAGAGUUGCAAAAUACUUUUUCGGUUGUUAAUGUUAUAGGUUUCAAAAUGAAACUUAUCAAGAAAUUAAGGUAUAUGAUGUUGUAUUUGUUGAUGGGUGUUAAUAUAAUUGUUCAUGUUUGAGUAUAACCAUGGAAUUCUUUCAAUUUUUUAAUAUCAAGUUAGAGGGGAGCAAGAAGGAAGGAGUUGAGUUAUGGUGUUACAAUUAAGGGAUUUGGGAUUUGUGUUUUUGUAGUAUAGGAUUUUGUGAUAUUGAAAAGUUCUUUAAUAUUAUAAAAAUUGAGAACUAAAAUUGUGUGAAAUAAUUAUUGUUUUGUUCUAUGAUUUUUAUAGCAAAAAGUUUCUAAGGUUAUAAAGGUCGUUCAUAGAGGAAAAAGAUAACUUACAAAAGUUAAACCAAAACUAAAAAAUGUUAAAUUGAAAAUAAGGGAAGAAAAGUUAGCACAUGGUUUUGUGGGGUUGAUGUCAUGCCCCAAGACCCAUUUCAAAAGUGUCACGGUUAUUUCACACCUAAAGCCUAAAGACUCAAAGUGUAAAUGACUCAAACAAUUGUAAUUUAAUGUUAUCGAUUACCAAAUUUUUGUUCAGAAUAGUAAAACAUCCUAUAAUCCUUAUAACUCAACUUUUUAAAAAAAAAUUAAAAAAAUUAACUAACAUACCAACCACUAUGCUGUCAUCCAAACAACUUAAAAAAUUCUUAAAAAGGUCAAACAAUAAUUAAUUUUAUCUAACGUAACAUUUAAAUAAUGUUCAAAAUAAAAGUUUAAACCACAAAUCCUAAUAAAAACAAAUUCCUAUUCUAACUAAACACAUACAUUAAAGGAAUAUUUGAAUUGAAUUUUACCACAAACUUAUCAAAAUUUCAAAUUAUUAUUCAUGACAAAAACUAGGGUAGCUUCAAUAUAAAAAAACCACAAAUCAUAGGUUUAUUGAUGAGUCUCAACUAUCAAAAUAUAAAAAGGUUUUUUUUCUUAAAUUUAAUAGCAUGCAUUCUUUUUAUUUUCACUAAAAUUAGAACCUAAAAAGUUCACAAAAUAUCAUAUAAAAGUGUACUUCUACUUACUCAACUCUAUUUUUCAAACUAUCGACCAAUAGUUUAGAAGUCAAGUUGUUUAUAUGGUGAAAAGUCCAUCUUUACUGUUUAUUUUGUACUGAUGGUUUAAUUUUUCUUCGAUAACUAUCAUUGAUUGAUUGUGAUUUUCUUAUAUUCAAACUCAUUAAAUCAAAGGAAAACUCUAAAGUAUUAUAGUGGUACCUAUCAAAUAAAAGAUUUACAUCAUUCAAUAUGAAUGAGGAGAUCUAAAUCGUUGAACAAUAGUAUAAAUGAAUAAAAUUUAGGUACAAAGAUAUAAAUAAAUUAGACUAAAAUAUAAAUAAUAAAACAAAAAAAAUAUUUUAUAUUACUUUAUCGAUGAUGUCUUUUCAACAAGUAUAAAAAUAGUACAAAUCAGUACACCAAAACCCCAAUUCAAAUGUGGCCACUUUUUUUUAGGAUGGAAGAACAAUGUUUUCUUCACCCCCGUGACCCUCAUGUCAAAUUCUCUUUCAUACAUUCAACAACCCCAACCAUUCACUUAAUUAGAAAUCCUCCAACACAAUUUUCUUCCAUUGACUUGGCUCCUUGACCUGUUCUUCCAUUGACUUGACUCCUUGACCUAGAAAGUUGACCGCAACAAAUCUUAUACACCAAUUUUAUGAAUAAAAUGUAAGUUUAAUCCUGUCAUUAUGUCAUCACGCUUGUAAGCUAAAUGGUUCACCCAUAUUUGUCCCAUAGAUUAUAUUUGUGUUUAUUGUACUUAUGUUAGAAGAUUCAACUUAAUCUUCAUCGUGUUUGAAAGUCAUUUUUUUUUUUUUUUAAAGAUUAGAAGCUUUUUUUUUUCCUUUUAAUAUUUCAAAGUUUUUUAUUUGAAAGUUGGAUUUUAGAUAAAAAUUUUAAGAAUUGUUCUUAAUUACCAUUUGAUAAUAAUCGACGAAUCUUAUGCAUCAGCGGAAAAAGUUCAUACCUAACACAUGAGGGAGGAAGAGGUCUCGUCUGAAGGAGGCUGAUGGAAACUGGUAAUCAAAGCAGUCAACACAGUUGUCAUUUUGUGAGGUUUUACUUCAAUGAGUAGCCCAUGAAAAUUUCCAACUCAGGGGGCCCUCACCAUUGAACGCUCCAGAAUCCCUGGGAACCAUAUUCAAAAUUUCUACGACCAUUAGUUAGCACAACAUAAACCAUUUCUUCUGGUUCUGUUGUACGAUUUGGGACUGAUUUCUGCGAAGUAACUGACCAUGGCUUUUGUUGGAGAGGCCUUUCUAUCUGCUUCCAUUCAGAAGCUGGUCGACAUGUUGGCCUGCCCCGACCUCCGGAAGUUCGCCCGCGAAGAACAAGUCCACGCCGAGCUCAAGAAGUGGGAGGGAAUACUGCUGAAAAUCCAUGCAGUGCUUCAUGAUGCUGAGGAGAAGCAGAUGACCAAUCGGUUCGUGCAGAUAUGGUUAGCCGAGCUCAGAGACUUGGCCUAUGAUGUUGAGGACAUCUUGGACGACUUCGCCACCGAAGCUUUACGGCGCAAGCUGAUCACAGAUGAUCCUCAGCCAAGUACUAGUACGGUGCGCAGCAUCAUCUCCUCCUUGUCUUCUCGUUUCAAUCCAAAUGCUUUAGUGUAUAAUCUCAAUAUGGGGUCUAAGUUAGAGGAGAUUACUGCAAGAUUACAUGAGAUUUCCACCCAAAAGGGUGACCUGGAUUUGAGAGAGAAUGUUGAAGAGAGAUCCAACAGGAAGAGAAAAAGAGUCCCUGAAACAACUUCUCUGGUGGUUGAGUCUCGUGUUUAUGGCAGGGAAACUGAUAAAGAGGCGAUACUUGAAGUGCUGCUGAGGGAUGAAUCGAUUCAUGAUAAUGAAGUCUGCGUGAUUCCUAUAGUCGGCAUGGGAGGUGUCGGCAAAACUACCCUUGCCCAGCUUGCCUACCACGACGACAGAGUGAAGAAUCAUUUUGAUCUGAGGGCUUGGGUUUGUGUUUCUGAUGAUUUUGAUGUUUUGAGGAUAACAAAAACGCUUCUACAGUCAAUUGCUUCUUACGCCCGUGAGAUCAAUGAUCUAAACUUGCUUCAAGUCAAGCUGAAAGAGAAAUUGUCUGGAAAGAAGUUUCUGCUUGUUCUAGAUGAUGUCUGGAACGAGAACUAUGACAAAUGGGAUAGGUUGUGCACCCCUUUACGAGCAGGGGGACCCGGCAGUAAGGUUAUCAUCACUACUCGCAACAUGGGUGUCGCCUCACUUACCAGAACGGUUUCGCCUUACCCCCUGCAGGAGCUGUCAAAUGAUGAUUGUCGAGCUGUGUUCGCGCAGCAUGCAUUGGGAGCAAGGAACUUUGAAGCUCAUCCGCACGUGAAAAUAAUUGGAGAGGAAAUGGUGAACAGAUGCAGGGGCUUGCCUUUGGUCGCAAAGGCCCUGGGAGGCAUCUUGCGAAAUGAACUAAACCAUGAGGCAUGGGACGAUAUAUUGAAGAGUAAGAUAUGGGAUCUACCAGAAGAGAAAAGUGGUGUUCUUCCAGCUCUCAAAUUGAGCUAUCAUCACCUCCCAUCUCAUCUGAAGCAGUGCUUUGCUUACUGCGCUAUUUUUCCCAAGGGAUAUGAAUUCAAAAAGGAUGAAUUAAUCCUUUUAUGGAUGGGAGAAGGAUUUCUGCAAACAAAAGGGAAGAAGCGAAUGGAGGACUUAGGUUCCAAAUACUUCUCAGAGUUGUUAUCAAGGUCAUUCUUUCAACAAUCAAGUGACGUAAUGCCGCGAUUCAUGAUGCAUGAUCUCAUCCAUGAUCUGGCUCAAUCCAUUGCCGGAAAUGUAUCUUUCAAUUUGGAGGAUAAGUUGGAGAAUAAUGAGAAUAUUUUUCAAAAGGCUCGCCAUUUGUCAUUCAUUCGUCAGGCCAAUGAGAUCUUCAAAAAAUUUGAAGUUGUCGAUAAAGGGAAGUAUCUUCGAACUUUUCUAGCUUUACCCAUUAGUGUAUCAUUUAUGAAAAGUUUGUCAUUCAUAACUACGAAGGUGACACAUGACCUCUUAAUGGAAAUGAAAUGCUUACGGGUACUAUCUUUAAGUGGCUAUAAGAUGAGUGAGCUGCCGAGUUCAAUUGAUAAUUUGAGUCAUCUACGAUAUCUCAAUCUAUGUCGCUCUUCAAUUAAAAGGUUACCUAAUUCAGUAGGUCAUCUGUAUAAUUUACAAACCUUAAUAUUACGAGAUUGUUGGAGUCUCACUGAGAUGCCUGUGGGGAUGGGAAAUUUAAUCAACCUUCGACAUCUUGAUAUUGCAGGGACAAGUCAAUUAGAAGAGAUGCCCCCACGAAUGGGCUGCCUGACAAAUUUGCAAACAUUGUCUAAGUUUAUUGUGGGAAAAGGUAACGGGUCGAGCAUACAAGAAUUGAAGCACUUGUUGGAUCUUCAAGGAGAACUUUCCAUUCAAGGAUUGCAUAAUGUGAGAAAUACUCGAGAUGCAGUGGAUGCUUGUUUAAAGAAUAAGUGCCACAUUGAAGAACUAACAAUGGGAUGGAGUGGUGAUUUUGAUGAUUCACGAAAUGAAUUGAAUGAAAUGCUUGUGCUCGAGUUGCUACAACCUCAAAGAAAUCUGAAAAAGCUCACAGUUGAGUUCUAUGGAGGACCGAAAUUCCCAAGCUGGAUAGGGAAUCCUUCAUUCUCAAAAAUGGAGUCCCUGACCCUUAAAAAUUGUGGAAAAUGCACAUCGCUACCAUGUCUUGGACGACUAUCUCUACUCAAAGCCUUGCGCAUUCAAGGAAUGUGUAAAGUUAAAACCAUAGGUGAUGAAUUUUUUGGGGAGGUCUCUCUUUUCAAGCCUUUUCCAUGCUUGGAGUCUCUAAGGUUUGAGGAUAUGCCAGAAUGGGAAGACUGGUGUUUUUCUGAUAUGGUUGAGGAAUGUGAAGGAUUAUUUUCUUGCCUUCGAGAGCUUAGAAUAAGGGAAUGUCCCAAACUGACUGGAAGCUUGCCCAAUUGCCUACCUUCUCUGGCAGAGCUCGAAAUUUUUGAAUGCCCAAAGUUGAAGGCUGCACUUCCAAGACUUGCAUAUGUUUGUAGCUUAAACGUUGUAGAAUGUAAUGAGGUUGUGUUGAGAAACGGGGUUGAUCUGAGCUCCCUCACUACACUAAACAUUCAGAGAAUUUCACGAUUAACUUGUCUAAGGGAAGGAUUUACCCAGUUGUUAGCAGCCCUUCAAAAACUGGUGAUAAGAGGAUGUGGGGAGAUGACAUCUUUGUGGGAGAACAGAUUCGGAUUAGAAUGCCUUCGGGGUCUUGAAAGUAUAGAUAUCUGGCAGUGCCAUGGACUUGAAUCCUUGGAGGAGCAAAGGCUGCCGUGCAAUCUCAAACAUUUGAAAAUAGAAAACUGUGCUAACCUGCAGAGGCUGCCUAAUGGUCUGCAAAGUCUCACAUGUCUUGAAGAGUUGUCAUUACAGAGUUGCCCCAAACUGGAGUCAUUUCCAGAGAUGGGCUUGCCACCGAUGCUGAGAAGUCUCGUGCUGCAGAAAUGCAACACUCUGAAGUUACUACCUCAUAAUUACAACUCAGGUUUCCUUGAAUAUUUGGAAAUUGAACACUGCCCAUGCCUCAUUAGCUUUCCAGAAGGUGAGCUGCCUGCCUCACUUAAGCAACUGAAGAUCAAGGAUUGUGCAAAUCUACAGACUUUGCCAGAGGGAAUGAUGCACCACAAUUCUAUGGUUAGCAACAACUCUUGUUGUCUUGAAGUCUUGGAGAUCAGAAAAUGUUCAUCCCUUCCAUCCCUUCCAACAGGCGAGCUACCCUCCACCCUUAAGCGGCUUGAGAUAUGGGACUGCAGGCAAUUUCAACCAAUUUCAGAGAAGAUGCUGCACAGCAAUACUGCACUUGAACAUUUGUCCAUUUCCAAUUAUCCAAACAUGAAAAUCCUUCCAGGAUUCCUCCACAGUCUCACGUAUCUCUAUAUGUAUGGUUGUCAAGGUCUUGUGUCCUUUCCAGAAAGAGGCUUGCCCACUCCCAAUCUCAGAGACCUUUAUAUUAACAACUGUGAGAACCUGAAGUCCCUUCCUCAUCAAAUGCAGAACCUUUUAUCUCUUCAAGAACUGAAUAUUAGGAAUUGUCAGGGCUUGGAGUCAUUUCCAGAAUGCGGUUUGGCCCCCAACCUUACCUCGCUCUCAAUCAGAGAUUGUGUGAAUCUGAAGGUGCCAUUAUCUGAAUGGGGCCUCCACAGGCUCACUUCUCUUUCAUCACUGUACAUUUCCGGUGUAUGUCCAAGUCUGGCAUCUCUUUCAGAUGAUGACUGUCUUCUUCCUUCAACUCUGAGCAAACUUUUUAUCAGUAAGCUGGAUUCCCUGGCCUGUCUGGCUCUCAAAAACCUCUCUUCCCUUGAAAGGAUAUCCAUCUACAGAUGCCCUAAGCUCCGGUCAAUUGGGCUGCCUGAAACGCUAUCAAGACUUGAAAUAAGGGAUUGCUAACAACAUCCCAAGAUGAAUUCUGCGCCCUGUAUAAAAAAAGGAAAAAAACUCACUCAGGUAUGCCUAUUUGCAACUCAAUCCCAGUUUCAUAUUGUCCUGUUAAUCUGAUUUUCCAUGUGUUUAUUGAAGGCUUGGAUGGGCGGUGGCUUUUGACAGCAUCACCGGCUUAUGGCUAAAACUGAGUGUAAAAUCUCUUGCCCUGCUUAAGCUGUUUUGUUCUUAUUUGUUUCAGAUCAAGGAAGCCGUUCAAUGACUCAUUUGUCGUUUGCAUUGUGUUUUUCCCUCCUUCAACAAGGUAUGCCUACUGCCUAUUCACAGUGUGCAUCUCCCAUUUUCAUUGGCAAAAUUCUGAGUUCAUUUCGAAAUAAAGAGUGGAAAUUUCUCUCUACAUACAGGAAGGAAAGAAAUAAAGAAGAAAAGAAACAUAUGAAAUCCAAAAUUUCCGAACAUUAAGCAGCAAAUUCACAUGGUGAUGGUAUGUUUUUUACCUCAAUCUUAGAUGAUUAUCUAUUUUGUUUUUCCUUCUGACAAUUCCUGAUAUGGGUUCCCCAAUUUUGUAAGUGGAUGGUUCCUUUUUGGAAUUUCUUAUUUCAGGUAGGAAGAAAAGAAUGAUGAAGGUGGUCAGUGCUUAUCAGGACUUGUUUUUCUGGUUUCUGCUAUUGUACACAAGCAUGAAUAUGUAUGCUAUUCUCAGUUACAUAUCAUAUACUUCUAUUGAUUUAUUUAUUUUCCAACUUCAAGUAAAGGUUGGUGUAGCGUAGUGUUUAUGACUUGUUCUAUUAUACUCCUCAAGCUGUUGUUGCAGAGGGGCCAGUUGCCUUCUCUUCUGCUUUCACACAGCAAUUUGAUUAGGCCCAAAUGCCAUAACCACCCCUUAAUUAACACUUACUCCAAGGCUUAACGAUUUGAAGGCUCAUGAUGGGACUUGACUAUCCCACAACACACCUAUCCUAAGGCUCUUUUUACCUAUAGUAUGUCUUAACAAUCACAACGGAGACUGACCAUCCCAUAACACACCUGUCUUGAGGACUUUGGGCUUGCCUUACACACCUAUCCCGGGAUCAUUGUUUUAGCUAUCAUUUUCUCAAUGAGUCAUAGACUCGUAAUAUCACAUACCUAACAACUCUUCCCUUAACAUUCCAUUUCUAUACCUUAACCCCAUGACCUAGUUCCAAUACCACUUUUUGUAUGUUUGGAAAAACCUUUGAUAUCACUUGUUGUGUUGGAAAAAGCUCUAACAUUGAUUUAAUUAACUAUUUUUAUAUCCAUGGAUGAGAGAAAAUAAUUUCAUUGUACCAUAAAAAUAUUAUAAAUGACAAAAAAAAUCUCAUAUUUCUCUACUCCUUAUAUAUAUCUACACAUUGAAUCAUGAGCUAUUAUUCUACUUGGGGUUUUUCACUAGAUCUUUCUCAUAUUUCUAUCUAUCAUACAUUGUUUUCAUAAACUCAUUUUCAUCGUGUAAAUUUUUUGCUUUAAAAUAUAGAAAAUUUGUAAAGAUAUUUUAAUAACUUUUCUUGUAUAAAAAAAUUUAAUAUUAUAAUAUCAUAUCAACAUAGCAAAUAUUGUAUGUAAAAUUCAAUACAAUAUAUAUAUAUAUAUAUAUAUAUAUAUAUAUAUAUAUAUAUAUAUAUUAAUUAAGAAUUUGAGAUAGAUGACAACUAAUAAGGAAUAUAUACUAACUAGUCGAAUCCCAUUAAAUUUCAUGUAAUUCUUUGUGUGAUUUUAUUAAAGCCAAGAAAAAUGGAACAUGUAAGAAAAUUGUAAAAGAAAUUUUGGUUAAAGGUGGAAUAAAUUAUUCUCUAAUAAGAAUGUAAUAUAUAAAACAUAUACUUCAUUAUCUGUAAUAAAUAUGGUCUUUCCUACGUAUUUAUUGGAUCUUGAAAGGUGGAAAUUAUGAAGUGGUCGAAUAGUCUAGUGCAUGAGGGGACCAUGGCUUAUGAGGGGACCAUGGUACACAAGAGGACCAUGACAUGCGGAGAAGUUGUGGUAUGAAGUGAAAAUAUGGUUAAGAAAAGUAACCAAGCGGAGUAUAAUUACGGGUUGCCUUGAUUAUGGUAUAGUAAAGCAAUCGAGUGCAUCAAUAGAAAUAUGUGCAAACAAUCUGUGUGAUAAAAUAUGUGUUACGCAGAGAUAAAAGAUUAACUCGAUGAAAUUUAAUUCAAGCUAGAAAGUGUCUCAAAUUAUCAUUUUGCAUAUUCAUUUGGUAAAAGAAAUAUGGUUUUAUUAUUUGGCAUUUUCUAAAAAAACUUAGGAUAUAUUUUUUAAAAUUAAUUAAUUUAUUAAAACCAAUCAAAUAAGUAAAAAGCUGUCAUUUUCCCUAUCUUCUUCUUCUUAUGGUCUUCUCUAAUGGCAUUAGUUCACAUUUCACCUCACGAAUAUGAAUUCAGAAGAGCAGCCCAUGUGCGGCAUUUUCAACAUACCAACCCUGUCGACCAACCGAGAAUAAGUCCAAGGACAUCCACUAAAGGUCUCACAUUUUGUAUUUUUGUGACUGGAACAGUCACUUUCCAUCGUUCAGACCGUCUGGACCGUCACUUCCACGGAAUUCAUUGCCGUAUUUCCAAAUACUUUUCUUCUGAAGAGUUGCAGACUUCCCCUAAUCAUUUUUUAGCUACAACUUUUCUCAUGAAGAAUAUCUAAUAUCUUAAAGAUCUGUUGCAGAGAGUUCCCUUAAUUAAUCCCUACUCCUUAUGCGUAUACCUUGAAUUAUGAGUUAUUAUUCUACUUAGUGUCUCUCGCUCUUUUUCGUAUUUCUAUCUAUCAUAUAUAGUUUUUAUAAACUCAUCUUCAUCAUAUAAAUUUUUUGCCUUAAUAUCUAGAAAAUUUGUAAAGACAUUUCCAAUAGCAUUCCUUAUUGUAUAAAGAAAUCUAAUAUUACAAUAUCAUAUCAACAUUACAAAUAUUCUAUAUAUAUUAACUAGUCGAAUCACAUUAAACUUCAUGUACUUCUUUGUGUGAACUUACUAAAGCUAAGAAGAAUGGAACAUAUAAAGCAUAUAUUUCAUUAUCUAUAAUAAAUGAGGGGACCAUAGUACAAAAGAGCACCAUGGCUCGUGAGGAGACCAUGACAUGUGAAGAAGUUUUGGCAUGAAGUGAAAAUAUGGAUCAGAAAAGUUUCCAAGUGAAGAUAGCUUGUUGCCUUGAUUACGGUAUAUUAAAACAAUCCAGGGCACUAAUAAAAAUAUGUGCAAAAAAUUCAUUUGUGUGAUGAAAUACAUGUUAUGAAGAGAUAAAAAAUUAACUCAAGGAAAUUUAAUCCAAGGUAGAAAGUGUCUCAAAUAUUAUGAGAUGAGGAUAAACAUAAAAGUUGCAGAGACUUCCAUGGAAUUCAAUGCCGUAUUCCCAAAUACUUUUCUUCUCAAGAGUUGCAGAGACUUCCCCUGAUCCUUUUUUAGCUACAAACUUUACUUCUGAAGAAUAUCUAAUAUUCUUAAAGAUCUGUUGCAGAGAGUUCCCUUAAUCAAUCCCUUGUUACCUACAAGAAAAGAAAAAAAAACAUGGCUGGUUUUGUUGGAGAAGCCGUUUUGUCUGGGUUCAUUCAGAAGUUGGUCGACAUGGUCGCCUCGCCGGAGCUGUGGAAGUACGCACGUGAAGAGCAAGUGGAUUCUGAACUGAACGAGUGGAAGAAAAUAUUGAUGAAGAUCUACGCAGUGCUCCAUGACGCGGAGGACAAGCAGAUGACAAACCCCCUGGUGAAGAUGUGGCUACACGACCUCAGAGACUUGGCUUAUGAUGUAGAGGACAUCUUGGAUGAAUUCGCCACCCAAGCUUUGCGACGCAACUUGAUCGUGGCUCAACCCCAACCGCCCACUGGUACUGUUCAGAGCAUUUUCUCUUCUUUGUCUACUAGUCUCACUUUGAGUGCUGCUUGGUCCAAUUUAAGUAUGGGUUCCAAGAUAGAGGAGAUCACUGCCAGAUUGCAAGAUAUUUCAGCCCAAAAAAAGCACCUGGAUUUAAGAGAUGUUUCUGCUGGUUGGUCUGGUAGAAAGAGACUACGGAGACUGCCAUCCACUUCUUUGGUGAUAGAAUCUCGUAUUUACGGCAGGGAAACAGAAAAAGCAGCCAUACUUGCCAUGCUGCUCAAGGAUGAUCCAAGUGAUGAUGAAGUCUGCGUGAUCCCUAUCGUCGGCAUGGGAGGUAUAGGCAAAACUACUCUUGCUCAACUUGCGUUUAAUGACGAUAAAGUGAAGGAUCAUUUUAAUUUGCGAGCUUGGGUCUGUGUUUCCGAUGAUUUUGAUGUUUUGAGGGUGACCAAAACUAUUCUGCAAUCNNNNNNNNNNNNNNNNNNNNNNNNNNNNNNNNNNNNNNNNNNNNNNNNNNNNNNNNNNNNNNNNNNNNNNNNNNNNNNNNNNNNNNNNNNNNNNNNNNNNNNNNNNNNNNNNNNNNNNNNNNNNNNNNNNNNNNNNNNNNNNNNNNNNNNNNNNNNNNNNNNNNNNNNNNNNNNNNNNNNNNNNNNNNNNNNNNNNNNNNNNNNNNNNNNNNNNNNNNNNNNNNNNNNNNNNNNNNNNNNNNNNNNNNNNNNNNNNNNNNNNNNNNNNNNNNNNNNNNNNNNNNNNNNNNNNNNNNNNNNNNNNNNNNNNNNNNNNNNNNNNNNNNNNNNNNNNNNNNNNNNNNNNNNNNNNNNNNNNNNNNNNNNNNNNNNNNNNNNNNNNNNNNNNNNNNNNNNNNNNNNNNNNNNNNNNNNNNNNNNNNNNNNNNNNNNNNNNNNNNNNNNNNNNNNNNNNNNNNNNNNNNAUGAAUGAGAGGCUUGUUUUAGAGUGGCUACAACCUCAUAGAAAUCUGGAAAAGCUCACCAUUGCAUUCUAUGGUGGACCAAACUUUCCAAGUUGGAUAAAGAAUCCCUCAUUCCCUUUAAUGACACACUUGGUUCUCAAGAAUUGCAAGAUAUGCACAUCGUUACCGGCUCUCGGCCAAUUAUCCUUACUCAAAAACUUGCAUAUCGAAGGGAUGAGUGAAGUUAGAACCAUAGAUGAGGACUUUUAUGGAGGGAUUGUCAAGUCUUUUCCAUCCUUGGAGUUUCUGAAGUUUGAAAAUAUGCCAACAUGGAAAGAUUGGUUUUUUCCAGAUGCAGAUGAACAAGUGGGACCAUUUCCAUUCCUUCGAGAACUUACAAUAAGGAGAUGCUCAAAGCUAGGUAUACAGUUGCCUGAUUGCCUACCUUCUCUGGUUAAACUUGAUAUCUUUGGGUGUCCAAAUUUGAAAGUUCCCUUUUCAGGAUUUGCAUCUCUUGGUGAAUUAAGUUUAGAAGAAUGUGAAGGGGUGGUGUUCAGAAGUGGGGUUGAUAGUUGUCUUGAGACAUUAGCUAUUGGACGGUGUCACUGGCUUGUAACGUUGGAGGAGCAAAUGCUACCUUGCAAACUUAAAAUUUUGAAAAUACAAGACUGUGCUAACCUGGAGGAGCUGCCAAACGGAUUGCAAAGUCUCAUAUCUCUCCAAGAGUUGAAAUUAGAGAGGUGCCCCAAACUGAUUUCAUUUCCAGAGGCCGCUUUGUCACCCUUGCUCAGAUCUCUGGUGCUGCAGAACUGCCCAUCUCUCAUAUGCUUUCCAAAUGGUGAGCUGCCCACCACGCUCAAGCAUAUGAGGGUUGAAGAUUGUGAAAAUUUGGAGUCUCUACCAGAGGGAAUGAUGCACCACAAGUCCUCUUCCACUGUAAGCAAAAACACUUGUUGCCUUGAAAAAUUGUGGAUAAAGAAUUGUUCCUCUCUCAAGUUCUUUCCAACAGGAGAGUUACCCUCCACCCUUGAGCUCCUUUGUAUUUGGGGAUGCGCAAACUUGGAGUCAAUAUCAGAGAAAAUGUCACCCAAUGGCACAGCUCUUGAAUAUUUAGACAUAAGGGGCUAUCCAAAUCUGAAAAUCCUACCAGAAUGCCUUACAAGCCUCAAGGAGCUCCACAUAGAAGAUUGUGGAGGUCUGGAGUGUUUUCCAAAAAGAGGGUUGUCAACCCCCAACCUCAUGCACCUUCGUAUUUGGAGAUGUGUGAAUCUCAGGUCCCUUCCACAGCAAAUGAAAAACCUCACAUCUGUUCACACUCUCAG
rnacentral:lncRNA from 1 species